GAAAUUAAUUAACUAUUGGGCGCAAACUUGAAAAGCCAAUGCUUCGAAUACUGCCUGUGUUUGCUUGUCACGGCCUCUUCAAACUCGUAACCUAAUUUGUAAUUGUCCUGUAUAUAUAUUAUAGGGGCUGCCACUAUAAAGGUCUGAGAGAUGGUGCUACUGUAAUAUCGAGUCAUGCCAUUUUUCCUCAUGAUGGUGGUAUGGAGGCAGCUGAACCUGUAGUAGGAUUAUGUUACCAGCAUUCAGCAUUAUUUUCACAGUUUAUGAUUAUUACCUCUAAGACAGUGGUAAGUGAAGCUUGUCUGUAUCCAUUGAGUUAUUUGGCUUGUAAUGGGUUGUCACAAAAUAACGACAAGGAAGAACGUAAAUUGCAUGUGUUUAGAAACAGAAUUAUCAAGAAAUUGUGGUAGAAUCAAGAAACACACGUAAGACGUUGAUGUGACAACCUCUUGGAAAGUAUCUUUUUGAAACAUGAAAGAAUAUAUUGAAACAGAUUUUAGGAAACUGGGUUUUGGUAAUGUUGACUGGAUUAAACUUAUUUAAGGUUGUAUUCAGUGUGAGGCUUCUGUGUUAGUGAUUCUGAUACCAGAGAAUUUGUGUAAUAACUUAUUACCGCUGUUAUUUGGACCUAAGGAAGAGGCAGUAACAUGACUGUGGUAGUGAUAGUUAUGUUGUCUGUGUUGACAGUAGGAGUUGCAGGGUUGCAUAUAAAUUCAGAUAUUCCUUGGCGGUGGUAAUCGUCCACUUACAAAUCUCGUUUGCUGCCUUGCAUAAUAAAAGUAUACAGUGGAUCAAACAGCCAUUUGUUUGAAAAUUUUGUUUGUAUUUUGAUAAUGUUGAUAAUAUUUGAACAUGAAUAUGUGAA